rnacentral:tRNA from 1 species
GUUUAAAUAGUUUAAAAAAAAAUUUUGAUUUGUGGUGUCAAAGAUGUAUAAGUUACUUUAAACC